rnacentral:rRNA from 1 species
UACAGAGGGGGCAAGCGUUGUUCGGAAUUACUGGGCGUAAAGGGCGCGUAGGCGGCCGCCUAAGUCAGACGUGAAAUCCCUCAGCUUAACUGGGGAACUGCGUCUGAGACUGGCAAGCUCGAGUGCAGGAGAGGAACGCGGAAUUCCAGGUGUAGCGGUGAAAUGCGUAGAUAUCUGGAGGAACACCGGUGGCGAAGGCGGCGUUCUGGACUGCAACUGACACUGAGGAACGAAAGCCAGGGGAGCAAACGGG